rnacentral:rRNA from 1 species
GGGGAAUUUUGCGCAAUGGGCGAAAGCCUGACGCAGCAACGCCGCGUGGAGGAUGAAGGCCUUCGGGUCGUAAACUCCUGUCAGGGGGGACGAAACGCCCGGCAACGGGCAUUGACUGUACCCUCUGAGGAAGCCACGGCUAACUCCGUGCCAGCAGCCGCGGUAAUACGGAGGUGGCAAGCGUUGUUCGGAAUUACUGGGCGCAAAGGGCGCGUAGGCGGCUAGGCAAGUCAGGUGUGAAAGCCCCGAGCUUAACUCGGGAAUUGCAUCUGAAACUGCUGUGCUUGAGUUCUGGAGGGGGUAGUGGAAUUCCCAGUGUAGCGGUGAAAUGCGUAGAUAUUGGGAGGAACACCUGCGGCGAAGGCGGCUACCUGGACAGAAACUGACGCUGAGGCGCGAAAGCUAGGGGAGCGAA